rnacentral:lncRNA from 1 species
CCAUUCCCCUCCGAGAUCACCAUAAUUGCCUCUUGAUUGUAAACAUGGAAGGUAUCCACGCUACAUCGGCCCUGACCCCAAGUUACAAUGAUACCUCCCGACAGUCCUCGAGAUUCCACAGCAUAGAAAUCCCAUGACCUCGGUAUCGCCCUCCUAGGCUUCUGCAGGCUACUCCCUGAAAGCCGGGUCUCAAACAAGACACAGAUGUCAGGGUUGUGCUGGUGCACCAACCUACGAAAAGCCGAGGCAAAAGAGGAUUUCCCCGCGCCACGACAAUUCCAUAACAGAAGCUUCAUAAAUCACCCAAAGAGUCAGCAUAGCCCACAUCACCGGAGCUGUUGCUGCCACCUACCUCCACAUCCAUACCCCCUUCACAAACCGGAAGGCCCUUGUUCACACCCACUAU